UACGUAGGGUGCAAGCGUUAAUCGGAAUUACUGGGCGUAAAGCGUGCGCAGGCGGUUUUGUAAGUCUGUCGUGAAAUCCCCGGGCUCAACCUGGGAAUUGCGAUGGAGACUGCAAGGCUAGAAUCUGGCAGAGGGGGGUAGAAUUCCGACGUGUGAGCAGUGAAAUGCGUAGAGAUGUGGAGGAACACCGAUGGCGAAGGCAGGUCUCUGGGCUGACACUGACGCUCAUGCACGAAAGCGUGGGGAGCAAACAGG
rnacentral:rRNA from 1 species